AUUGAACGCUGGCGGCAGGCCUAACACAUGCAAGUCGAACGAGUGGCGGACGGGUGAGUAAUGUCUGGGAAACUGCCUGAUGGAGGGGGAUAACUACUGGAAACGGUAGCUUAUACCGCAUACCCUCAGAUGUGCCCAGGUGGGAUUAGCGAGUUGGUGGGGUAACGGCUCACCAAGGCGACGAUCCCUAGCUGGUCUGAGAGGAUGAUCGGUCAAACUGUAACUGAGACACGGUCAAACUUCCGACGGGAGGAGGAAGUGGGGAAUAGUGGACAAGGGGGGAAAGCCUGAUGCAGCCAUGCCGCGGGGGGGAAGAAGGUCUUCGGAUUGUAAAGCACUUUAAGUUGGGAGGCGUUACCAACAGAAUAAGCACCGGCUAACUUCGUGCCAGCAGCCGCGGUAAUUC
rnacentral:rRNA from 1 species